rnacentral:tRNA from 1 species
CGCCGGGCAGGCGCAGGCCGGGCCGCGCCUUCACCAAAGGCGCCAACAGGGCGUCCGCCGACAGGUCGCCCUGGAUCGCCUCGGGGUCCGCCGAC